rnacentral:misc_RNA from 1 species
UUGGGUUUCUCUCUCUAUCUGUCUCUCAUUUGAUGGCUUAGCUUUGUUUAAUCUAGUUUUGAGCUGAAGUUCAACUUUAUUUUGAGCUGGAUUCUUUUCUUUCGAAGUGUGUGAACUUGGGCUCUGUCAAUUGUAUUUGAGCUUGGAAAAUUGUUAAAAGAGAACGUUGAGCCUUUACUGAUUUCUAUUCUGAAGGGAUUUCAUUUUCCUCGCCAUAUUGUAAGGGUCCGUUAUGACAUCUUCUUCCGCGUCUCGUAAACGAAAGUAUGACGUGUUUCUUAGCUUCAGAGGCGAGGACACUCGUGAUAAUUUCACUAGCCAUCUCUAUGAUGCUUUAUGUCGCAAAAAAAUCAAGACCUUCAUAGACAAUGACCUUGAAAGAGGGGAAGAAAUAACACCAGGCCUUUUGAGAACAAUUGAAGAAUCAUUGAUUUCUGUAAUCAUUUUCUCCAAAAAAUAUGCGUCUUCUCCGUGGUGCUUGGAUGAAAUGGUGAAGAUACUUGAAUGCAAGGAAAUUUAUGGUCAGACGGUUUUACCAAUCUUUUACCAUGUAGAUCCAUCUGAUGUUGAAGGACUAAGUGGCAGCUUUGGAGAUGCAUUUAUUGAGCUUGAAAAGAACUUUAAGGAGAAAAUGGAAAGGAUGCCCCAUUGGAGGGCUGACUUGAUGAAAGUUGCCGGUAUAUCAGGAUGGGAUUCCCGUGUGAUAAGGUAUGUGUCAAUUCCUUUAUAUGUUUUUUAUUUUCAUUUUUAAGGUUUCAUAAAUAUAAAGGAAUAUUAUAAAAUAAACUUUGUGGUAUUUUUAUGCAAAUGUAAAUGUAAUUGACAAUUAAUUUUACAAUAGAAAGCAAAAUACAUGCAUCUAAGACCUUAUUUGGUAUCAAUUAUUUUGUCUAUUUUUUGUUGUUUUUGCUUGAUACUGAAAAAUUUUUGGAAAACAAGUAGAUAAAACAAGUAAAAUCCACUUUUCUAGUUUUCAAAUGGCUGUAAUAACAUGUUUUUCACCUUUAAAGCAAAAAACAGAAUGGGCACCAAAUGGACUCAAAAAUAGCUUUUUUGUUAGUAAAAUCGUGGUCAUAAUUCAUGAAAUCCACUUGAGUUGAGCUAGCAAACAAGUGCCAUGCUUGUGUGUGUUGUCAGGUUUACAUAAAUGUGACUUAUUACGUUUAUCCCAUCUCAAUCAUUAAAUUCAAAUUUAGCGGCCAAGAUUUCAUCUAUGUAAAAUCUGGCCAUCCAUUUCCUUCUGUGGACCAAAAUGGCUUUCCUUCUCCAAAAGAAUAUAUUCUCUUUUGACUUUGUUUGUUAAUUCAUUAAGAAACCAAAAUGUUUAAUAUUCCAUAAUUCAAGAACUAAAAUGUUUGAUUUCAAAAAUGGAAGCAUUUGAAAAAGAGGUCUAGAAAUGUGCUUAUUCAGUUUAUUUUAAAACAAAACCAUCAACUCUUGUUAAAGAAAAUAUGUUGUAACAUUCCAAAUUUGUUUUAAAACAUGAAUGAUGAUUCCUAAACCGUUGAGAAAUUAUGUUCAAUACUGUCUUUUGGAUAUUGAAUGACAACAAUUUUUCCCCCCCAAACAAACUUUAUGCUCAACAAAAAUAGUGUUUUAUUUCAUAAAACAAAUGAAGAACC